rnacentral:tRNA from 1 species
UCCCUGGUGGCUCAGUGGUAAAGAAUCUGCCUGCAAAGCAGGGGAUGCAGGUUCCAUCCCUGGGUUGGGAA